ensembl:lncRNA
GAGCGUCGGUGGCGUCUGCGAGACCCGGCGACGCGAGUGGCGGCUGAAGGGGCUGGCAUUCCUCGCGUAUUCUCUUUACCAGAACAGAAACAUGGUUUUUGCGAGCAAAAUCAUCUGAAGAACACAGCCCCAUGCUGUAGCUGCUUGGCUGCAUACACUCAUUGGGGAAGAAGUCAAGAGCAGUCAGCCCACGCUUCCAGACUGGCUCUCAAGGAGCCCAGAGUCACUGAGAUUUGGGAUUAUUUGCAUUUGAAAGCUACUUCUCAGGAUACAGUUCAGUGGAUAAUGGAAUAUUAGCAAAUGUCACAUGUGUUGUUUUUGGUUUUGUUUUUUCUUUAUUAUUAUUUAAGAGACAUUUUUAUUACUUAAGGGAUGCCUACAAUUGCUGAUUUAGUGUCUGUGUGAAAAGCUGUGUUGUCUGGACUCCUGUAUUUGCAAACAGAGCAGAUAGUAGAAGUGUAAGCACUUCUUGCAUGGCACCGUAGCUGUGACCUGGAUUGACCCCAUGAAUGGCAAGCAGGGUGAGCAGUAUCAAACUUGGAAGCUCUCUCCUGUUAUCACUGGUGUGUUAACCCAGCAAAACUGCUUAACUUCACUGCCAUGUAGUUCCAUCUGUAAUGUAAACAUCUGUCUACUGACUAACUGCACUGGAAGCACUGUUUCAUUUUGUGUAGGCUACUGAACAUCUGUCAGAUGGGAAUAACUUUGGUUAUCACAGGUCUUAGCCAACAUCCUAACGCAGGAGGUUCUGGAUGCCUUUAUCCUUGACUGACUUUCUUGGUUUUGGACUAGAUCCUUCUGUGCUGUACAUUUCCAGUUUUUUAAUAGGCUUUUAAAUAACCCCCAAGAGGAUACUGGAUGUUAUUCCCCUUCAGAGCUCACGUAGGUUAGAUGGAAGUGUUGAAUUCAUUGGAUCACUAUGGGUCUGUUCCUUUCUUCUGUGCAUCACCUAUCCAUUAGUAUAUCUUCUCUAAGAAACUAUGUUAAAUUAGUUUUGACAGGAUGAGUUGUGCUGUACAAGGCUGUGCCUUGAAAUCAUACAGAUAUAAAAAGAAGAUUCCCAUAACAGCAUUUCAAGCAACUGUGAUGUCAGCUGAGCCAGAUCUCUGAGAAUAGUUUUCUGUCAGCAUGGGUGUGCAGUAGACUAAGAGUGAGCAUACCUGAGUAACAAAAUGUACCAUAAACCUGAACAUGCUUGGUUUGGAAAAGGAAUCCUCUUCAUGUACAUUAGUAUGCAUUUAGCAAGCAAAAACCGUGUUGAGCACUCACCAGACUUACUGAAGUCAAAUGGGAAUUUCAAGCCACUUGAAGGUUUGAAGCCUGCAAAAGCAGGCUGUGGCAUACGUGUGGAGGAUCCUUGUAACGUCCAUUCUGAGGUUAAGGAAACAGCCUCACUGAAGAGAGGCUCAUUCAAAUGGUUAGGUUUCAAAACCUUUGAAAUUUGGGAUUUAUUUGGCUGAAUACUCCAGCAGUCGUCUUUAAGUAUUCUGUGACUCAUGCAGUCUGUCUGACCUUCUUAGGCUGUGGAGAGGAGCAGUGAGAGCAGGUUCACUUAUGACAAAGCUUCCUGUUUUGCCUUGAACAGAAGGUGUCUAGAAAAGUCUUUUUCAUGAUGUUCUGCUGAUCCUAGCUGAUUUCAGUGACUGGGCUGAAACAGGAGAGAAAGCACUGGUUGUGGUAUGGUGGUCUUGCCAAACCUUUUCAGCCUCCAAGGAAGGUUUAUUUUGGCAGCGCUAAGCUUUUUGGGUUGCUUUUCGUUUGGAGAGGGUGAUGGGAAAGAUGCUCCACCUCAGACAUUGAAAUACAAAUAUUUGACUUUUACACAACUGAAAUGGCUCUGGGUAGGCAUGGAAUAAGUGACAAAAAACGAGCUUUUACCAAACCUGUGGAGUUCAUUUGAACUUUGCCAGGUGUUUGGCUGUAAGAAUGUGAGGUCCCGUAUUUAACAGCUCAUAUACUUUGCCAAUAAUAUGUGAAGUGUUUCAUUAUCUUGUACACUGUAGUUGGCACACAUCAGUUUGCAGACAAAGAGUAAUGGCUUAUGGUAUUUGUGGAUUCCAUGUGUUGUUUUAGCCAUGAAAUGAUGUGGGUGUAUGAUAAGACAAAUAUAUAUGAAUAAAAGCACUCAUGUAUUAAGUAUC